rnacentral:misc_RNA from 1 species
UGGCAGAAAUUUUGUGUAAUCAAACGGGGUUUCGAGUAAACAAAUGGAUAGGAGUUUUGUGCAAGAAGAAAUCAAGAAUCAAGAAAUUGAUUUGGUGGUGAACAAAAUCUUAGGAAAUUAUAGAGAAGAAUGAGAAACAAAAUUGAUGGAAAGAAGAAGGAAAGGGAAAAACUAGAUUCAAGAGAGGAGAAAGAGGAGAAGAAGAAUUACCAAUAGAAACUCGUAGCCAAAGAUCCUUAACUUUGAUACCACUGAUGCAAUUUCAAUAGAAAAGAGAGAAUUAGAAGAAGAAUACUUGGAGAGGAGAAAAAAGAAUCCAGAUAAGAGGAAUUUCGUUCAAUCAACCUCUGAAGGUUUCUCUUUUAUACAAAUCGUCACCCUAACAGGUUAACAACCCACAGUAAUCAAUAUUAGACUUGUAUUAUCGGGAUUCCCUUUCUACAACACCGCAACUCAAACUUAUUGGAUUGGGUCAAAUUUGCCCAGCAGCCAACAAAGCUCAUACUCCUUCCCCCGUGCUGUCUGCAUCUGAUCCCUUAAGCCACAUCAUCGUCACGCCACUGCUUGCUUCACGCCAAGUCAUCUACCACCUCGCUGCCACUUCAGCACCUAGCACAUAAAAAAAAAAAAAAAAUUCUGGACAGACCUAUCCUUGCUAAUCUCAAUGUGUUGAUUCCGAUUUUGGUGACCGUUUUGAGUAGAAAAAAUUAUUUAAGGACGACGAGCUCUGAAUUGUGUCUUUUGUGAGACUUAUAUUGUGGACUAAAAUUGAAAGAUUACAAGCUAAAAUCGAUGACUGCAAGGUAUCUAUAUAGAUUAAGUCAAUGACUAUAAGGUACAACAACUAAGCCUUAAUCCCA